rnacentral:rRNA from 1 species
UAAAACCAGCACCUCGAGUGGUCAGGAGGUUUAUUGGGCCUAAAGCAUCCGUAGCCGGUUGUUUAAGUUUUCGGUUAAAUCUAUGCGCUUAACGUAUAGGCUGCCGAAAAUACUGGACAGCUAGGGAGUGGGAGAGGUACACGGUACUCAAUAGGAAGGGGUAAAAUCCUUUGAUCUGUUGAUGACCACCUGUGGCGAAGGCGGUGUACCAGAACACGUUCGACGGUGAGGGAUGAAAGCUGGGGGAGCAAACCGGAUUAGAUACCCGGGUAGUCCCAGCUGUAAACGAUGCAAACUCGGUGAUGCAUUGGCUUGUGGCCAAUGCAGUGCCGCAGGGAAGCCGUUAAGUUUGCCGCCUGGGAAGUACGUACGCAAGUAUGAAACUCAAAGGAAUUGACGG